GAUGAACGCUGACAGAAUGCUUAACACAUGCAAGUCAACUUGAACUUCGGUUUGGGUGGCGGACGGGUGAGUAACGCGUAAAGAACUUGCCUCACAGCUAGGGACAACAUUUGGAAACGAAUGCUAAUACCUGAUAUUAUGAUUUUAGGGCAUCCUAGGAUUAUGAAGGCUAUAUGCGCUGUGAGAGAGCUUUGCGUCCCAUUAGCUAGUUGGAGAGGUAACGGCUCACCAAGGCGAUGAUGGGUAGCCGGCCUGAGAGGGUGAUCGGCCACAAGGGGACUGAGACACGGCCCUUACUCCUACGGGAGGCAGCAGUGGGGAAUAUUGGACAAUGGACCAAGAGUCUGAUCCAGCAAUUCUGUGUGCACGAUGAAGUUUUUCGGAAUGUAAAGUGCUUUCAGUUGGGAAGAAAAAAAUGACGGUACCAACAGAAGAAGUGACGGCUAAAUACGUGCCAGCAGCCGCGGUAAUACGUAUGUCACAAGCGUUAUCCGGAUUUAUUGGGCGUAAAGCGCGUCUAGGUGGUUAUGUAAGUCUGAUGUGAAAAUGCAGGGCUCAACUCUGUAUUGCGUUGGAAACUGUGUAACUAGAGUACUGGAGAGGUAGGCGGAACUACAAGUGUAGAGGUGAAAUUCGUAGAUAUUUGUAGGAAUGCCGAUGGGGAAGCCAGCUUACUGGACAGAUACUGACGCUGAAGCGCGAAAGCGUGGGUAGCAAACAGG
rnacentral:rRNA from 1 species